GUUGGCAAGGCUGAUCUCGAACUCCUGACCUUAGGUGAUCUACCCACCUGAGCCUCCCAAAGUGCUGGGAUUACAGGCAUGAGCCACCAUGCCUGGCAUGCUAUCUGUAUAUUUUCUUUGGCUAGGUGUCUGUUCAGAGGUUUACCCAGUUUUAAUUGGGUUUUUAGUUUUUUUUAGUGUUCCUAUGAAGAGUUCUUUGUUUAUUUUCAAUACAGUUUUUAAAAUCACAUAUGCAUUUUGUAAAUAUCUUCUCACAGUCUGUCUUGUCUUUGUGUUCUCUGAAUAGGAUUUUUCACAGUAUAAAAUUGAGUUUUAUAAAGCCUGUUAUGAAUAUUUACAUGAAUUGUCGUUUGAUGUUGUGUGUUAAAACUCAACACCAAAUUCAAUGUUACAUAGAUUUUGUUUUAGAUUUUUUAUAGUUUUGCAUUUCCAAUUAUAGUCUGGACAAUUUUGAGUAGGUUUUUGUGUUUUAAUUUGUGUGUACAUUCAUUUCAUUCUAAAUGGCUUCCAGAUAAUUCUUCUGUUACUAUAUUUGGGAAAGUUAUGGAUAUAGUGGACUUUUUUGGUUUGAAUUUCCAAAAUUAUGACAUUGAAUAAACUGGAUAUUGAAUUUUAUAGGUAUUUAAGGACAACCAGGAGGGGGCGCGUGUCCGCUGAGAAACCGUGAGCAAGAGCGUCUGUGCUGAGCCGUGGCACCACCAGAGUGUCCACGAUCCCACCCCCAACUAACUUCCCUCUGAGGCUCCAGAAGCCGCAAGGAGCUUUAUCACCCUCAGGGCAGCAUGAGGGUCGUGUCAACUUGGUGGUGGUCAUUGCAGCAGGCUUUGCUGCCUUCCGCCCACUGAGUCCUUCAGCCGUGGCUCAGUCAGACCGACUCCCAGUGCUUGUCCCGUGUCCCAGUGCUGCUCAACUGAACUGAGACUCACUGGAUGCUACUUCUCCACCCAAGAGCACCACCACAGCAGCCGGAGACAUACUUGUGGAGGUCUGCCUGAUGGCCCUUGGGUGCCAUGGCACCCUGAGAGGGCCCCAGCAUGGAUGCUAACUGUUUUCCACCUGCCUGGGCCCCUGCCUUGGCCAGGGACCUCCCUGAAGGGGUUUGUCUUUGAAGUCAUGACAAACUUCAUUCACAGCCUGAAGGCACCUCAGCUGGGAAGAGCCGGCCAUCCUGCUCCAGAUGUUUUGAUCCAGCUGAUCCCAAACAGCACCAGAACAGCGAAUCUUCCCUCAGCCUCUUCCCCUGAGACCUUGGGCCAAGUACUCAGUGUAAUUCGUGCCUG